CGGGGUAUGGCGCAGCUUGGUAGCGCACCUGCUUUGGGAGCAGGGGGUCGUGGGUUCAAAUCCCCCUACCCCGA
rnacentral:tRNA from 1 species